GACGAACGCUGGCGGCGUGCUUAACACAUGCAAGUCGAACGGAAAGGCCCUGCUUUUGUGGGGUGCUCGAGUGGCGAACGGGUGAGUAACGCGUGAGUAACCUGCCCUUGACUUUGGGAUAACUUCAGGAAACUGGGGCUAAUACCGGAUAGGAGCUCCUGCUGCAUGGUGGGGGUUGGAAAGUUUCGGCGGUUGGGGAUGGACUCGCGGCUUAUCAGCUUGUUGGUGGGGUAGUGGCUUACCAAGGCUUUGACGGGUAGCCGGCCUGAGAGGGUGACCGGCCACAUUGGGACUGAGAUACGGCCCAGACUCCUACGGGAGGCAGCAGUGGGGAAUAUUGCACAAUGGGCGGAAGCCUGAUGCAGCAACGCCGCGUGCGGGAUGACGGCCUUCGGGUUGUAAACCGCUUUCGCCUGUGACGAAGCGUGAGUGACGGUAAUGGGUAAAGAAGCACCGGCUAACUACGUGCCAGCAGCCGCGGUGAUACGUAGGGUGCGAGCGUUGUCCGGAUUUAUUGGGCGUAAAGGGCUCGUAGGUGGUUGAUCGCGUCGGAAGUGUAAUCUUGGGGCUUAACCCUGAGCGUGCUUUCGAUACGGGUUGACUUGAGGAAGGUAGGGGAGAAUGGAAUUCCUGGUGGAGCGGUGGAAUGCGCAGAUAUCAGGAGGAACACCAGUGGCGAAGGCGGUUCUCUGGGCCUUUCCUGACGCUGAGGAGCGAAAGCGUGGGGAGCGAACAGGCUUAGAUACCCUGGUAGUCCACGCUGUAAACGGUGGGUACUAGGUGUGGGGUCCAUUCCACGGGUUCCGUGCCGUAGCUAACGCUUUAAGUACCCCGCCUGGGGAGUACGGCCGCAAGGCUAAAACUCAAAGGAAUUGACGGGGCCCCGCACAAGCGGCGGAGCAUGCGGAUUAAUUCGAUGCAACGCGUAGAACCUUACCUGGGUUUGACAUGGAUCGGGAGCGCUCAGAGAUGGGUGUGCCUCUUUUGGGGUCGGUUCACAGGUGGUGCAUGGCUGUCGUCAGCUCGUGUCGUGAGAUGUUGGGUUAAGUCCCGCAACGAGCGCAACCCUUGUUCACUGUUGCCAGCACGUUAUGGUGGGGACUCAGUGGAGACCGCCGGGGUCAACUCGGAGGAAGGUGGGGAUGACGUCAAGUCAUCAUGCCCCUUAUGUCCAGGGCUUCACGCAUGCUACAAUGGCUGGUAUAGAGAGUGGCGAGCCUGUGAGGGUGAGCGAAUCUCGGAAAGCCGGUCUCAGUUCGGAUUGGGGUCUGCAACUCGACCUCAUGAAGUCGGAGUCGCUAGUAAUCGCAGAUCAGCAACGCUGCGGUGAAUACGUUCCCGGG
rnacentral:rRNA from 1 species